rnacentral:rRNA from 2 species
GAAACCAACAGGGAUUCCCCUAGUAACGGCGAGUGAAGCGGGAACAGCUCAAAUUUGAAAUCUGGCCCUUGGGUCCGAGUUGUAAUUUGCAGAGGAUGCUUUUGGUGCGGUGCCUUCCGAGUUCCCUGGAACGGGACGCCUUAGAGGGUGAGAGCCCCGUACGGUUGGCCACCAAGCCUGUGUAAAGCUCCUUCGACGAGUCGAGUAGUUUGGGAAUGCUGCUCAAAAUGGGAGGUAUAUUUCUUCUAAAGCUAAAUACUGGCCAGAGACCGAUAGCGCACAAGUAGAGUGAUCGAAAGAUGAAAAGCACUUUGAAAAGAGGGUUAAAUAGCACGUGAAAUUGUUGAAAGGGAAGGAUUUAUGACCAGACUUUUUCUGGGGGGAUCAUCCGGUGUUCUCACCGGUGCACUUCCCCCAGUUGAGGCCAGCAUCGGUUUCUGCCGGGGGAUAAAAGCUUUGGGAAUGUGGCUCCUUCGGGAGUGUUAUAGCCCGUUGCAUAAUACCCUGGCGGGGACCGAGGUUCGCGCAUUGCAAGGAUGCUGGCGUAAUGGUUAUUAAUCACCCGUCUUGAAACACGGACCAAGGAGUCGAACAUUUGUGCGAGUGUUUGGGUGUUAAACCCUCACGCGUAAUGAAAGUGAACGGAGGUGAGAGCCUUUAGGGGUGCAUCAUCGACCGAUCCUGAUGUCUUCGGAUGGAUUUGAGUAAGAGCAUAACUGUUCGGACCCGAAAGAUGGUGAACUAUGCGUGGAUAGGGUGAAGCCAGAGGAAACUCUGGUGGAGGCUCGCAGCGGUUCUGACGUGCAAAUCGAUCGUCAAAUCUGCGCAUGGGGGCGAAAGACUAAUCGA